rnacentral:rRNA from 1 species
UGAGGAAUAUUGCGCAAUGGGGGAAACCGGGAACCAGCAACGCCGCGUGCGCGAUGAAGGCCUUCGGGUUGUAAAGCGCUUUUUGAGAGGAUGAGGAAGGACAGUACUCUUAGAAUAAGCCUCGGCUAACUACGUGCCAGCAGCCGCGGUAAAACGUAGGAGGCGAGCGUUAUCCGGAUUUACUGGGCGUAAAGCGUGUGUAGGCGGUUUGAUAAGUUGGAUGUGAAAGCUCCUGGCUUAACUGGGAGAGGUCGUUCAAAACUAUCAGACUUGAGAGUGGUAGAGGAAGGUGGAAUUCCGCAUGUAGUGGUGAAAUGCGUAGAUAUGCGGAGGAACACCAGUGGCGAGAGCGGGCUCAUGGCGCAUUUCUGACGCUCAGACACGAAAGCUAAGGUAGCAAACG